rnacentral:tRNA from 1 species
GCCGGGGUGGUGGAACUGGUAGACGCGCCGGACUCAAAAUCCGGUGUCUGAAAGGACGUGGGGGUUCAAGUCCCCCCCCCGGCACCA